rnacentral:snoRNA from 1 species
AAGAUCAUACUUUCUGGGAUCAUUUCUAUAGUCUUUGACUUGAGAAAUAUCGUACGAAAGUGAUCGGUUACUCUAACCACCCUGAGCACGCCCGAUCUCGUCUGAUCUCGUUCAGGUGUGCAACCAGGAAGCGAAUGAGCAGAGAGAGCAGGUGGA